rnacentral:lncRNA from 1 species
UCCUAAAUUAAUAAAUUACUCUUUUUGUUUUUAAGCUAAGUUUUGGAGUCUUGAAUUCUUGCAAAAGUUAUCCUUCCCAAACCCCAGGGGUACACAUCUGAACUCCAUAACAUUUUUGGUGCCCAACAUGUUUGGCUCUCCUGAAAGCUACUCUUUUACCCCGGAUCAUCCACGAGGACGCAGCUUCUAAGUGCUUUGCAGAAGGCUGCAACAAUCUCCUCAGAAAACUGGGAGAAAAUACCUUCCAUUGUCUGGGAUCAAGGCAUACUGGGAAGAGCCCUUCAGGCGGAUCAGAUUAUACUGGACUUAAGCCACUCAAGUGCAAACAGUGCCUCCAGCAAUCGUCAAUAGAGAAAGACAGCCUGGCUGCUUCUAACAGCACACCUGGCACUGGGAGCCGACUGCCAGAGGAAUAAAACCUUUGAACAUCAGCUGAAUCCCUGGCUGGAUUUUCUUUACCCCUUUUAGAAAAUCAAUUAUUUAGAGGGCAGCGGAUCAACUUAACUAAAAUGAAAUG